GACGAACGCUGGCGGCGUGCUUAACACAUGCAAGUCGAACGGAGUGGCGAACGGGUGAGUAACACGUGGGUGAUCUGCCUUGCACUUCGGGAUACGCUUGGGAAACUGGGUCUAAUACCGGAUAGUGCAAGAUGAGCUCGGGGCCUAUCAGCUUGCUGGUGGGGUAAUGGCCUACCAAGGCGUCGACGGGUAGCCGGCCUGAGAGGGUGUACGGCCACAAUGGGACUGAGGUACGGCCCAGACGCGUACGGGAGGCAGCGGUGGAGAGUAUGGCACAAUGGGCGGAAGCCUGAUGCAGCGACGCCGGGUGGGGGAUGAAGGGCUUCGGGGUGUAAACGCCUUGCGAAAGGGACGCGGUACCUGUAUAAGAAGCACCGGCUAACUACGUGCCAGCAGCCGCGGUAAUAC
rnacentral:rRNA from 1 species